GUUGGCUUGGCAACUGUAGUUGUGGAAAGUGCAGUAACAUCCAUUUACAUAUGCUAUGCCGAAGACCCCUCUCUAAUAAACAGGUGGGAUUCAGCCUUUUUUACUCUGAUCUCAGAAAAACUACAUCAGCGAUUGCAACAUGGAAGUGCAAGGGCAAGGGCAAGGGAAGUAUUAAGUCAUAAUAGAGAUUAUCAAAUCCAAGAAGCAGGUACUAUUUGACUUCCUUUUGCACAAGCAAGCACUGUGCAACUUUUUAUUGCAUUUUAUGGACAGAAAUUUAGACUACAAUUGAUCACACAGUGACUCCUUUUUUCAACUAUAAUAUUUUCAUUACAUUAUAGUUCAGCCUACCGAACAAGUCAUACAUUUAUAACAUGUGAAGCAGACAAUAAAAAUAAUACACUAACAAAUGCCCCAUAUAAAAUUUCAAUUGAAUGCUCAAGGAUAGUUCGAGGGUCGAAUGUUUGUAUUGUCAGGAUGCUUAUCUCUGCACAUGUCUGAAUAGAUCUUACUAUCCUCGGCUCAUUGUCAACUCGAUAGUCAGACUCCUGUAGAUUAACUUACAUCGAUUUCUUUGAGACGUGUAUCGUACAAGUUUAAUGGGACUGAAUCUUCCAAACUUCGUACGGACCAUGAUAUGGAUGUUAAUUCUUUUGUUUUUUCUCCUUUCCUUCCCUCUGUUUCUGAUUAUUCGUCGUUGCAUUUUAGUGGUUGGUCUGGUAUGAGUGUGUUAAGGGAAUAUAAUCCCACAUCGGUAAAAUACCGAAACAAUGACCAAUAUAUAAAAAGGAUUGGGACACUCCUCUUAACAAGGUUGACCUUAUUAAGAUGGACCCCAAGUCUUAACAUGGUAUCAGAGCCCAUUAAGCUCCAACGAGCGAUUUGAUCCGAUAUAGUCUCUAAAAAUGAGCACACGGAUUUCAAGAUUGAUCUGCUCAAAAGAGCCACAUCUUGCGGGGGCAUGUUAAGGGAAUAUAAUCCCACAUCGGUAAAAUACCGAAACAAUGACCAAUAUAUAAAAAGGAUUGGGACACUCCUCUUAACAAGGUUGACCUUAUUAAGAUGGACCCCAAGUCUUAACAGAGUGGUUAUGGGAAAGAGUCUAUUGCAGCAUAUUUAAUUCGUGAAUUUCUAAUGAUUGCCAUGUUAUGCGAUCAGCAUAAACCUUUCAAAUAUAUAUUAUUAUGCAUUAACGUCUGAAAAAAUAAUAGGCUGCAGAAAUUUACAUCUUAAUAUCUUAUUAUUUUUUUAAUACAUUAAUUCAAGAAUCACUUUUUUUCCUCCAGCUUCUGCGUUUUUCCUGUUUCAUUGUUCUUUCUUCCUGCAACCAUAUUUAACAGAAAUUUCAUUAAUUAAUAACACCAGAUGAGUAAAUGAAUUAGAAAAAUUAAAUAAAAAUGCGCAUACUUGGUCUAUAAUUUCUUCUUCUACUAGACUUGACAUUCUGUGGUAUAAAAACUCCAGUUCCAUUCCCUUUUCCAUUAGUUCUCCAUAAGCUCAAUAGCCAUGGAGGAGUUGCAUAGUUCUCUGUCCAGUUGUAAUGAGAUCUACACUGUGGCAUCAAAAGAGGGCUACUACUUAACCCUUUUCUCCGGGUAUCGACCAAGCUCGGAAAUCUAACAUUAGCAUAGAAUUCAUCAUCUUCUUCUGCCGUCAACUGGAAAACUUGCCUUCUAUGUUCAUCAUAGAAAACAUCAUCUUCAUCUUCAAAUUCAUUAUAUGAAUUUGUAAUUUCUUGCACAAGACUACAAUGCAUAUCCAUCAAGGGAGAAAUUGAUUUCAAUGUGUUUGGUUUUUCACAUGAUUAUGAUAUUUAUAGUUAAAUUAAGUAGGAUUUUGGUCAAAGUUUGAGGCAAGUGGAAAACAGUUUUGUAAUGGAUCUCCACUUGGCUUCAAAUGCAAACAAAUAUACCAAGUUUUGUUUUAUUUUUAUACGUUUCCAAAUUAAAUUUAUUAUUUCUUAUGUCAUGCUUAUGUACAAAUAAUGUGUCCCACUAUAAAUUAAGGAUAGGAUGUAAUCACGUUGGAACUACUUUUAAUUGUAUUAAUGAUCUCAGUAUUUAUUAGUAUUGCACUUAUUUCUCAACCUUCUUUUUGUCUCAAUGUUAUUAUUAAUUUUUUAUUAAUUAGGACAUAUGGUUCUAUGAAUGACGAUUUAUGUCUAAAUAUUGGAUUAGUGUGCUUCAGAAAAUGAGAGACAAAUCAUUUUUUGCAUUUUUGUAUUUGUUAUUAUUAUUAUUAUUAUUUGGUAUAUUUAACAAUAUAAAGGGGAAAUAAGUCUUUUUAUGCCUCCCACGGACUUUUCGAAUGGAACCGUCAUCAAUGACAAUAUGUGCUAAUUAUGAAUGGUUAAAUAUAAGAGUGAAAUGGAAAAAUUAAAAAGUGGUAGAAAGAAAGAAAAUUACUGUAAGGCUAUGUUUGAUAAGCCAAAAUUUUUCUUAGAAAAUGGAAAAUCAAUUCUAACUUUCACUUUUGCAUUGUUUGAUAGCAUUUUUUUUACUAAAAAUUUAUUUUCCACUUUUUUUGCCACCUAAGCUGAAAUUCACAUUUUCCUUAAAUUGGAGAUUCCAAUUCCGGUCACUGUACCAAUUUUAUUUAUUUAUUUAUUUAUUUUUGACAAUGAAAACAAAUUCUAAGAAUUAUUGUAAAAAAAAUAUUUCACUUUAAUUGACAAUUUUCAUGUAAAAAAAGUCAAACGAAUACGAAAAGAUAGAUGAUUUUCUAUGAUUUUUUUUUUGUGGCAAUGGAAACAAGUUUCAUACCCAAUAUUAGUAAAUUCCAUUCCUUUAAUUGACAAUUUUCAUAUAAAACAAAGUCAAACGAAUAUAAAAAAACAUUUUUAUUUUAACAUUUUUCACGUAGAAAAUUAUACCAAUCAAAUACAAUAAUUUGCAAUUCUCAGAAAAAUAAUUUCUAGACAAUUAAAUUCCCUAAAAUUCAUUUUCUUUUUACUCAAAUUCCAUUUUCGUAAUCAAACGGACCCUCAAUUCAAUUUUCAAAAUAAGACCAGUCACUCAAAAUAAUUAAACUGACUAAAUAUUCUGUAUCAAGCAUCGAAUUUUAUAAAUUUUGUACCUUUUUUUUUUUUUAUUUUUUAUGGGUCUCAAGUUUCCAUUACGGUCAAUUAGUUGACUAAUUGCUUGGCCGAUUAGGGCAAAAAAGAUUAUGAUUCCUUUAAGUGACAUUUGGAAAAUAUUGAUGCUAAAUAAUCAGUGGUUUGACAACUAUUUUGGAUGUUAUCAAUAAUCCCAAAUAACUAUACUUACUGAAGAAAUUGCGUCAUUCACAAAUUCCUACCAAUCGAUUGAAUCUUAAUCAAUUAAAAGAAGGAUUUAAAAAAAUAAAUAAAUAAAUAAAAGAACUAUUUCUACAACUACAAAAAAGGAAAUUUCUAGAUCUAGCUAGAAUUCUUAUUUUUAUUCUUUCAUUUUCUUGUAUAAUGACAUGUUCACAUCAACCUUGACUGGAUUGAAAAGCAAAUGAAAUACUCUUCGUAUUGUUAAGACCUCUUGGUUUCUAAACACAUGCAACGUUAUUAGAAGUUAGGAGUUCAAUAAUAUCCGAACUCAUUUUGGAAGAGGCGAGCCUCCAAGGGAGAAGCCAUAUGCAUGCUCAAGUGACCUCGUGUUCGCCGUGAUCUUAGUUGUAGUCAGUGGCGAAUCCAGGAGUUUGAGUCAGCACGGGCGGCCGUUGACCAUCUACCGUUGGCUGCAAUAAAAUAUUAAAAGUCCUUUUGGUUUCCAUUUUUUUUUUGCAAAAAAUGCAUUUUGGAAGGUGAUUUGAUGGAGAACGUCCGAACGCGUGACUAAAAAUAAAGAAAAUUUUUGAAUUUAUGUGUAAUAUUAUUUUAUUGAAAAAUGUAUGGAUGAAAAGAAGAAAGAAAAAUGUAAUUUAAAAAAAAAAAAGAAUCGAACAAGGCCUAAAGUGUAAAUAUAACAAUUAUUUUGUUCAAAAUGAAUAUAUACAAUUCUAUUAUAAUAAUAAAUAGAACUCAUCAAAUAAUAUUGUUGCCAAGUUUUGUAUAAUUCAAAGAAAAAGUGUGAAUUCGAAUAUUUAAAAUUAUUCGCAUUAAAACAAUCAAAACCUAACAAAUAUUAUUUUGUUAAAUCUAGUAACACAAUUCAAAAUGUACCAUAAUGGUUAAGUUUACCACAACUCUUACUUGAUAUCAUAGGUUUAAAUCCUCAUUGUCCCACCCUCAUUGAAUUUUGGUAAAGAUUAUAGAGUAAAAAUAAUGCAUAACAAAUUUAUUGACAAAGAUUCGAACCUAAGACUUGAAAUAUAUCAAGGCUAGCUCUCACCAAGUAAGCUACAGAGAAGUUUGAAAAUAAAAUUAAUUACCAACAAUAUAAGGUAAAAAUUUUAUAUAUUACUAACAAAAAAAUUAUAUGCCGGUGGAUCCAGUUAGGGCGGCCGCUCUAGCUAGCUGCCCUCUGGAUCCGCCACUAGUUGCAGUGGAACACUUAACCCUCUUUAUAGAUCAUGGAAAUGCAUUUUUGGGGCAUGUAGACAAACAGGAAUUGUGAGGUCUCUAAUAAGAGUGCCGUAUUGAUACAGCAUGUCCUAUGCUAUAAGGGAGUUCCAUUCGACGAGUUGGACUACUUACCCUAACAAAAAAAGGGCUUCGGGCAUGGAUUUCUGUCCUUGAAACCAUGAUAUUGAUUCCUACUACUUUUUACCAGUAGAAUAUUAGCAACUACAAAUUCGUUAUUAAUUUGAGGGUCACUAAUGGUGACCAAGCAGAUCGUGUCGUAGGUAAAAAGUUUUUACCAAUGAAUUUUUCAUUGGUAAAGAGUGAACCUUUAGCUACAGAAUUUUUGUUGAUAAAAAUCUUAACCAUUACCAAUGGACUUUCUGUUAGUAAAUGUUUACUAUUACAACUAGUAAAAAUCAGUGUUAUAAAUAGCAGCAUAGGUGCGAGGCAUGGCAAAAAUAAAUAAAUAAAUAAAUAAAUAAAUUAUUAUUAUUAUUAUUAUUAUUAUUAUUAUUAUUUAUUGAAUAAUUAUAAACUUCAAAGUUUUAGUCAACUAAAUUGAAGGGUCCAAAAAGUUGUUUAACCACUUAUUGGACAACAAAUUUAUAGAGAGCAACUUCAAAGGCUUUGUUGUGAACUUCCGAUAUGGUAUAAGAAUUCAUUUGAUUGAAUUGUAGUAUAUUGUACGUUUAGUUUGACUGUAGUGUAUUAUACUAUUGUGUAAACGAUUAUUUAUAUUUUAUUACACUUCAGUUAUGUAUAUUUAAUAGGUGAAUGAUUGAUUUUUUUUCUUUUAAAUUAUUAGAAUUGAUUAAUAUCAUCAACAUAUUUUUCGUAGGUAAUAUGAAUUAAUCUUCAUCUAAGGAAUUUUCGUUGGUGAUGAGGCUGAUUUUAUUUAUUUAUUUUUUGGAAAAAAUUAAUUACCCUUCAUGUAAGGAUAUGCCAUAGGAGAAUGUUUAAUUUUUUUAAUUAUUAAAAUUGAUUAAUAUUAGCAACUGCAAAUUCCGUUGGUAAUAUGAACUAUUCUUCACCCACGAAAAAUUCGUAGAUGAAAGGUUGACAUGGUUUUUAGAAAAUAAUAUUUUGAAUUACAUCACCUGCGAAAAUAUUGUUGGUAAAUGGUACGUAUAUGAAACAAUAACAUUAGGCACGGAAUAUUUGUUGGUAAAGAGCUAUCACUUCUACCAACGAAAAUUUGGUUUAUGAUUUUCGUAAUUAAAAGUCUAAUACUUUUACCAAUGGAUAAUCCUUUAGCCGUAAGUGAAAAGCUGAUUUUUAAUAGUGUUAGAUAUCUUUUCCUCCUAAGAAUUAGUUGGACGUGUUGGCAAAACCCACAGUCAAAACUCUUUUUUUAUUGGUAAAUGUAAAAUCUUGUAGAUCAAAACCCAUUUACAAGUACACCGGGCAUACUCAGACAAGCAAAGAUCAAAUAACAAAUACAUGCACUCCAGUCAUAUCCGAGUAAACAACAUAAAAUGAUGUACCAACGAUAGUCUAAGGGCUCCCCACUAAAGACUCAAAUUCAAUCAAAACAUACAGAUACAAAGCAAACAUAGCUUUGUGUACAUGUGUUUUAAUCCUACUUACAAUAAAAUCAACUUGUGGCCUAAGAUUUUCAAACAUACUUCUAUUCCUUGCCAUCCAAAAGUUAUACACAGUAGUAGAAAGUCCUAUACGUUUUGCUUUACUUUGCCAACUCGUUCCUCAGGCUUCUUUUUCUUCCACUAUAAUGAACUCAACAAAGUAGACAUGUUGUGCCUAAUAGCCAACCAACCACGGAUUUGCUCCCAAACAACCUCGUUGACUAUACAUGAAAAGAACAAGUGUUGUGCAGUUUCCUCCGUUAGCCCACAAAAACAGCAGUUUUGGUCUAGUUGUAGGUUAUGUAAUCUGUACUUCAUUUGUAAUCUGGCCUGAACUCCUAACCAAAGGGUGAAAGCAUGUUUUCGAUUGCUAGAAGUGGUCCAAACUAAAGGUGCCCAAGCUACCUUAAUACCUUGUGGCUUGAAAAACUCAUAAAAAGCCGUGGUGCUAAAAAUCUACCAACCUCCGUCCAACAUAGUAAUCUAUUCAAACUAGCUUGCACUGCGCAGUCCAACCUAAUAAUGUUGUCCCUGAUUUCCAACACUUUUUUGAGUAAUGGAGAGUCAUCCAUUUUCACCUUAUGUUCCCAAACGUCUAUACCUCGAAGGUGUACCUAAUUUAUCCCUUUAAUCCAAAGAGUGUCCUUUUUGCUAUGGAUAUUCCAAAGUGUUUUGGAGAGUAGUGCAACAUUCCAACUUUUGAUGUUUCUAAAACCAAGUCCUCCUUUGUGCUUUGAGAGGCAAAUUUGAUUCCAAGCAAGCAAUGGUUUUUUGGAUCCCCAUUGGAAGUUCCGGCAUAAAAUAAUGAUUUUAGAAGCCAUCGUUGCCAGAAUGGGAAAGAUGGAUAACCAAAAACAUUCCAUUCUUUGUAGAACGGCUCUCACAAAUUUCGCUCUCCCCACAUAUGAUAAUGAAGAAGUUAACCAUGCACCAAAAUAAGUAGAAAUUCUAUUGAUGAAGGAAUCAUAUGAACUUACUUCAAUUUUUUCACUACAAGUGAGAUGCCCAAGUAGCGAAACGGCAUGAUGCCUUUAGAGACGUUGGUUAAUGCAAGGAUAUGCUCCAAUUCUUUACCAUGAAAUCCCUCGGUGUACAAUCAAGAUUUUUCAAAUUUAUAUUGAGACCCGACACAGCACCAAAGUUUGAUAGACAAUUCAUCAAGAUAUCAACUGACAUCACAUCCCCUCUAGCAAAAAACAUCAAAUCAUUUGCAAAAGCUAAAUGCGUGAUCCUUAGAGGUGCAUAUCUAGGAUGAAAGUUGAAGUCAUUAUUUUUAGUAGCCUCUUUCACCAUUCAAGAGAAGUAUUCAAGGCAUAAAAUAAACAAAUAAGGAGAAAGAAGAUCGCCUUGUCGAAAACCUUUCUUACCUUUUAUAAAACCAUGAAGGCUUCCAUUAAGAGCAAUAGAAUAAGUAGGUGUUGUAACACACCCCAUUACACACUCCACGAAUGUAGUAGUGAAUCCUAACCCCUCAUGCACUUUCUUAAGAAAAUUCCUAUUCACCGAGUCAUGGGCCUUCCUUGAGUCAAUUUUAAGAAGGCAUCUUGGAGCUACCCUCUUACAGUUGUAUUUCUCCAAAAGCUCUUGAGCCAAGUGAAUGUUCUCAAUCAUGCUCUUGCCUUCCAUAAACGCAGCUUGUGCUUGGUCUAUAAUUAAACCAAGCAUAGGCUUCAACUGAGAAGAGACAAUUUUGGCGAUGACUUUAUAAAAUACAUUGCAACAAGCAAUAUGCCUAUAGUCUUCUACCGAAGUAGAAUGGUUUGUCUUCGGUACCAAUGCAAUGACUGUGUGGUUGGUUUGUUUGAGAAGAGCCCUUAACUCAAAGAAUUCUUCAAUUGCCUCCAUAAACUCAUUUCCAGCAAUAUUCCAAGACUUUUGAAGAAGCAAAACAUAUAUCCAUCUAGACCCAGUGACUUGUCAUCCCCAAUAAUAAAUAAAGCAUAUUUGAUCUCUUGUCUUGUGAUGUCCCGAACUAGCAACAUAGCAUUAUCCUUCGAUAAAAUAGGUCCUCUCCUUAAAAUUUCAGUAUUAAAGGGCUGUUCAAAACUAUUUUGUCCCAACAAAUCAUUAUAAAAGUGAAUGAAUUCAGCUGACACCUCUUCUUGAGAAGUAGAAUAACACCCGUCCCUCUUAAUUACGGCUGGAAUAUAGUUCCUUUUGGCAUUCCUCUUGACCAAGGAAUGGAAGAACUUCGUACACUUAUCACUAUUCUUUGAGUGCACACACUUUGCUUGUUCGUAAUAAAAGCUCCUUCCUGCUUCACAAAGAAUCAUGCUUCCUUCCUCAACCUUGAAACAUCAAAAUUUAAUCGAUGAUUCGUCAGGUCAUCAUGCAAUUCAACUUGUGCCAAUUUCCAAUUUUUUUGAAGCAAAAUCAGCCCUUGAGGAUAUAUGNAAUUUUUUUUUUUUUUUUUUUUUUCGCAAAAAAUGUAUUUUGGAAUGGUGAUUUGAUAGAGAACGCCUAAACGUGUGACUAAAAGUAAAGAAAAUUUUUGAAUUUAUGUGUAAUAUUAUUUUAUUGAAGAAUGUAUGGAUGAAAAGAAGAAAGAAAAAUGUAAUUUAAAAAAAAAAAAGAAUCGAACAAGGCUUAAAGUAUAAAUAUAACAAUUAUUUUGUUCAAAAUGAAUAUAUGCAAUUCUAUUAUAAUAAUAAAUAGAACUCAUCAAAUAACAUUGUUGCCAAGUUUUGUAUAAUUCAAAGGAAGAGUGUGAAUUCGAAUAUUUAAAAUUAUUCGCAUUAAAACAAUCAAAACCUAACAAAUAUUAUUUUGUUAAAUCUAGUAACACAAUUCAAAAUGUACCAUAAUGGUUAAGUUUACCACAACUCUUACUUGAGAUCAUAGGUUUAAAUUCUCAUUGUCCCUCCCUCAUUGAAUUUUGAUAAAGAUUAUAGAGUAAAAAUAAUACAUAACAAAUUCAUUGACAAAGAUUCAAACCUAAGACUUGAAGUAUAUCAAGGCUAGCUCUCAUCAAGUAAGCUACAGAGAUGUUUAAAAAUAAAAUCAAUUACCAACAAUAUAAGGUAAAAAUUUAAUAUAUUACUAACAAAAAAAAUAUAUCCCGGUGGAUCCAGCUAGGGCGGCCGCUCCGCCAUUGGUUGCAGUGGAACACUUACCCUUCUUCAUAGAUCAUGGAAAUGCAAUUUUGGGGCAUCUAGACAAACAGGAAUUGUGAGGUCUCUAAUAAGAGUGCAGUAUUGAUACAGCAUGUCCUAUGCUAUUAGGGAGUUCCAUUCGACGAGUUGGACUACUUACCCUAACAAAAAAAUGGCUUCGGGCAUGGAUUUCCGUCCUUGAAACCAUGAUAUUGAUUGCUACUACUUUUUACCAGUAGAAUAUUAGCAACUACAAAUUCGUUAUUAAUUUGAGGGUCACUAAUGGUGACCAAGCAGAUCACAUCGUAGGUAAAAAGUUUUUACCAAUGAAUUUUUCGUUGGUAAAGAGUGAACCUUUAGCUACAGAAUUUUUGUUGAUAAAAAUCAUAACCAUUACCAAUGGACUUUCCGUUAGUAAAUGUCUACUAUUACAACUAGUAAAAAUCAGUGUUUAUAAAUAGCCGCAUAGGUGCGAGGCGUGGCAAAAAUAAAUAAAUAAAUAAAUAAAUUAUUAUUAUUGUUAUUAUUAUUAUUAUUAUUAUUACUUAUUGAAUAAUUAUAAAUUUCAAACUUUUAGUCAACUAAAUUGAAGGGUCCAAAAAGUUGUUUAACCACUUAUUGGACAACAAAAUUAUAGAGAGCAACUUCAAAGGCUUUGUUGUGAACUUCCGAUAUGGUAUAAGAAUUCAUUUGAUUGGAUUGUCGUAAAUUGUACGUUUAGUUUGACUGUAGUGUAUUGUACUAUUGUAUAAAUGAUUAUUUAUAUUUUAUUACACUUCAGUUAUGUAUAUUUAAUAGGUGAAUGAUUGAUUUUUUUUCUUUUAAAUUGUUAGAAUUGAUUAAUAUCAUCAACAUAUUUUUUGUAGGUAAUAUGAAUUAAUCUUCAUCUAAGGAAUUUUCGUUGGUGAAGAGGCUGAUUUUAUUUAUUUUUUUUUUGGAAAAAAUUAAUUAGCCUUCAUGUAAGGAUAUGCCAUAGGAGAAUGUUUAACUUUUUUAAUUAUUAAAAUUGAUUAAUAUUAGCAACCGCAAAUUCCGUUGGUAAUAUGAACUAUUCUUCACCCACGAAAAAUUCGUAGAUGAAAGGUUGACAUGAUUUUUAGAAAAUAAUAUUUUGAAUUACAUCACCUGCGAAAAUAUUGUUGGUAAAUGAUACGUAUAUUAAACAACAACAUUAGGCACGGAAUAUUUGUUGGUAAAGAGCUCUCACUUCUACCAACGAAAAUUUGGUUUAUGAUUUUUGUAAUUAAAAGUCUAAUACUUUUACCAACGGAUAAUCCUUUAGCCGUAAGUGAAAAGCUUAUUUUUAAUAGUGUUAGAUAUCUUUUCCUCCUAAGAAUUAGUUGGACGUGUUGGCAAAACCCACAGUCAAAACUCUUUUUUUAUUGGUAAAUGUAAAAUUUUGUAGACCAAAACCCAUUUACAAGUACACCGGGCAUACUCAAACAAGCAAAGAUCAAAUAACAAAUACAUGCACACCAGGCAUAUCCGGGUAAACAACAUGAAAUGAUGUACCAACGAUAGUAUAAGGGCUCCCUACUAAAGAUUCAAAUUCAAUCAAAACAUACAGAUACAAAGCAAACAUAGCUUUGUGUACAUGUGUUUUAAUCCUACUUACAAUAAAAUCAACUUGUGGCCUAAGAUUUUCAAACAUACUUCUAUUCCUUGCCAUCCAAAAGUAAUACACAGUGGUAGAAAGUGCUAUACGUUUUGCUUUACUUUGCCAACUCGUUCCUCAGGCUUCUUUUUCUUCCACUAUAAUGAACUCAACAAAGUAGACAUGUUAUGCCUAAUAGCCAACCAACCACGGAUUUGCUCCCAAAUAGCCUCGUUGACUAGACAUGAAAAGAACAAGUGUUGUGCAGUUUCCUCCGUUAGCCCACAAAAACAGCAGUUUCGGUCUAGUUGUAGGUGAUGUAAUCUGUACUUCAUUUGUAAUCUGGCCUGAACUCCUAACCAAAGGAUGAAAGCAUGUUUUCGAUUGCUGGAAGUGGUCCAAACUAAAGGUGCCCAAGCUACCUUAGUACCUUGUGGCUUGAAAAACUCAUAAAAAGCCGUGGUGCUAAGAAUCUACGAACCUCCGUCCAACAUAGUAAUCUAUUCAAACUAGCUUGCACUGCACAGUCCAACCUAAUAAUGUUGUCCCUGAUUUCCAACACUUUUUUGAGUAAUGGAGAGUCAUCCAUUUUCACCUUAUAUUCCCAAACGUCUAUACCUCGAAGGUGUACCUAAUUUAUCCAUUUAAUCCAAAGAGUGUCCUUUUUGCUAUGGAUAUUCCAAAGUGUUUUGGAGAGUAGUGCAACAUUCCAACUUUUGAUGUUUCUAAAACCAAGUCCUCCUUUGUGCUUUGAUAGGAAAAUUUGAUUUCAAGCAAGCAAUGGUUUUUUGGAUCCCCAUUGGAAGUUUCGGCAUAAAAUAAUGAUUUUAGAAGCCAUCGUUGCCAGAAUGGGAAAGAUGGAUAACCAAAAACAUUCCAUUCUUUGUAGAAUGGCUCUUACAAAUUUCUCUCUCCCCACAUAUGAUAAUGAAGAAGUUAACCAUGCACCAAAAUAAGUAGAAAUUCUAUUGAUGAAGGAAUCAUAUGAACUUACUUCAAUUUUUUCACUACAAGUGAGAUGCCCAAGUAGCGAAACGGCAUGAUACCUUUAGAGACGUUGGUUAAUGCAAGGAUAUGCUCCAAUUUUUACCAUGAAAUCCCUCGGUGUACAAUCAAGAUUUUUCAAAUUUAUAUUGAGACCCGACACAGCACCAAAGUUUGAUAGACAAUUCAUCAAGAUAUCAACUGACAUCACAUCCCCUCUAGCAAAAAACAUCAAAUCAUUUGCAAAAGCUAAAUGCGUGAUCCUUAGAGGUGCAUAUCUAGGAUGAAAGUUGAAGUCAUUAUUUUUAGUAGCCUCUUUCACCAUUCAAGAGAAGUAUUCAAGGCAUAAAAUAAACAAAUAAGGAGAAAGAAGAUCGCCUUGUCGAAAACCUUUCUUACCUUUUAUAAAACCAUGAAGGCUUCCAUUAAGAGCAAUAGAAUAAGUAGGUGUUGUAACACACCCCAUUACACACUCCACGAAUGUAGUAGUGAAUCCUAACCCCUCAUGCACUUUCUUAAGAAAAUUCCUAUUCACCGAGUCAUGGGCCUUCCUUGAGUCAAUUUUAAGAAGGCAUCUUGGAGCUACCCUCUUACAGUUAUAUUGCCUCAAAAGCUCUUGAGCCAAGUGAAUGUUCUCAAUCAUGCUCUUGCCUUCCAUAAACGCAGCUUGUGCUUGGUCUAUAAUUAAACCAAGCAUAGGCUUCAACCGAGAAGAGACAAUUUUGGCGAUGACUUUAUAAAAUACAUUGCAACAAGCAAUAUGCCUAUAGUCUUCUACCGAAGUAGAAUGGUUUGUCUUCGGUACCAAUGCAAUGACUGUGUGGUUGGUUUGUUUGAGAAGAGCCCUCAACUCAAAGAAUUCUUCAAUUGCCUCCAUAAACUCAUUUCCAGCAAUAUUCCAAGACUUUUGAAGGAGCAAAACGUAUAUCCAUCUCGACCCAGUGACUUGUCAUCCCCAAUAAUAAAUAAAGCAUAUUUGAUCUCGUCUUGCGAUGUCCCGAACUAGCAACAUAGCAUUAUCCUUUGAUAAAAUAGGUCCUCUCCUUAAAAUUUCAGUAUUAAAGGGCUGUUCAAAACUAUUUUGUCCCAACAAAUCAUUAUAAAAGUGAAUGAAUUCAGCUGACACCUCUUCUUGAGAAGUAGAAUAACACCUGUCCCUCUUAAUUACGGCUGGAAUAUAGUUCCUUUUGGCAUUCCUCUUGACCAAGGAAUGGAAGAACUUCGUAAACUUAUCACUAUUCUUUGAGUGCACACACUUUGCUUGUUCGUAAUAAAAGCUCCUUCCUGCUUCACAAAGAAUCAUGCUUCCUUCCUCAACCUUGAAACAUCAAAAUUUAAUUGAUGAUUCGUCAGGUCAUCAUGCAAUUCAACUUGUGCCAAUGUCCAAUUUUUUUGAAGCAAAAUCAGCCCUUGAGGAUAUAUUUGCAAAGUGUUUAUCAUCGAACUUUUUAAGCACCUCUUUAAGAUUUCGUAAUUUCUUAUAAAGUGAAAAUUGUUUUGAUCCCCAAAAAACUUGAUUCCAACUAUUAGAUACUACAUCAUGGAAAUCUUCAUGGCUCGUCCACGUGUUGAAAAUUUUGAAAGGCCUAUUUUUGCGUCUAGCUUCCCCAAGAGUGAGACAACGCAAGGUGAGUGAUUGAAAAGACACCCCGAAGGGAGAGCUAUCAAAACCCCCCUUGCAUCCAAGCUUCAUUCACCAUGGCUCUAUGAAGUUUCCUCCAAACAAAGUUAUUAGUCCAAGUAUAGAAGCAUCCUGUAGAUCGCAUAUCCACGAGUCCAACACUAAGGCAACAAUUUUCCAAAUCUUUCACCUCAUAGGGAGUAACAUCCACACCGUUUCAUAUUUCAUCAAACUUCAACACAUUAUUGAAGGCUCCCAAAACUAACCAUGACCAAGAGCAAUUGAGACCAAACUUCGCAAUAUUAUUCCAAAGUGGUUUCUAAUUCACAAUAGUAUGGAACGCAUAAACGAAGCUAACAAGAAAAGUAAGUGAAGAUAUCUUACAAGUAAUGGAGCAACAGAUGACUUGCUGCAUAGUCUCCAAUACUUCCAAGACGACUUUCAUUGCAUUCCACAAACUAAAAUCGGUCAACUUGAUGAGUGUGAAAAUUGUUGACCCAUGAAAAUCCACCAAAUUUAUUCCUCAUAAUUCGGCCCAACUUCGUCUCACCCAAAUUUGUUUUCAAAAUACCCAUAACAUCUAUAUCAUGUUGCUUCAUAAAGUUCUGAACCCUGUUUUGUUUUAGGGGAGGGCUGACGUCCCUAAUGUUCCAAGUUCCAAUAUUCAUAAUAAUGAAGCAAGGGAUACGCCCUUCUUCUUAUCUUUCAUAACUGUAGCCCUUCUUUGCUCCUCAAGCUCCCUUUAAGCUUAUCAUUGCUAGUAGCCUUAGUUGUAGUACAAUGCAGAUUGGAUAAACAAUCAGCCCCUGUUUUAGCCACAUGAUUACUUUCCUUUUCCAUAGCCCGUAUUGGAGUAAUAUUGGUCAGUUUAUGGCCAUGGUGUAUUCCCUUUUUCUUGUUGGUCACCUUAAUAAAUGAACUUUCAUGUUGAUCUGCCUGCUGCCCCCUUAUUGCUUAAUUCCCUUCUCAACCUGCUGUAGUUGUGGCCGGUUAUUACACUGUUGGCCACCCUAUUCACCCAUUUCUGCCAUUUUUUUUUAAUUUAUACUAUAACUAUUCCAAUUUCAUUACUUUAUUCCUUUAUUUAUUUAUUUAUUUAUUUUUUUGCCAUUUUCUUUGAGCGUCUUCUUUGUUCUAUCUCCUUUUCCUUCAGAUAAAUCUUUUGUGAUUGUUCCAGAAGAAAUGAAACAAAAGAUAUGACUUCACACACCUUAAAGUUCAUAGGACGAAAAGACAUUUUUUGAGGACCUUAUACUCAUGAAGUGCACUGACCUCGUCAUUCUGUCCAAUCCGUUUCAGCAGUAGUAGACAGGAUCAGAUGUUCCCCAGUAAGCUGUCCAUUAUCCUGGGUCGAAGUCUGCUUAGUAUUAGUCUCAACAGCCCGAGAUUGCUUAACAGCCUGACUUUUGGAGAUGUAUGUGGCUAUCUUGUGUCCGAACAUCCUACAAUUUCCACAAAAUUUUGGAUCGUGCUCACAAACCACUACUUGUAUUCUAUCUUUACCCGUGGGCAAAGUCAUUUCAAUGGAUCGAACCAAGUCUUUGGAUGCAUGAACCUCCACUAACAUCUGAGCAUAAGAUAAUCUUUCUUUGAAACUUAUUUAUUGACUUGUAGUGAUGCUUUUCGAGAGAAAAAUCGAGUGAUUAUAUAUCUUACAACAAUUGCUUGUCUUACUUGCAAAUCAUAGAUGGCUGUCCCGACACUGUACCAUAAGUUGAACAUGGCGAUGCGGAAGAAGGUUGGUCAAGCACGGACGUGUGAAAAAUGUGAAGGAAUUCAUAACGUCUUUCUACCUACCAAAGAGAAUUCCGACAAUCCAAUUUCAACACCAUAUCCACUCAAUGACAAUUACAACAAACCAAAACCCUAGGGUUUUUAGAUACUCGGCCAAAUUUAACAUAUUUUUAUUUUUAUUCCACGUUAACACAAAGUCGAUAUUUAAAUUACACAAGUAAGACAUUUAUCAUUCAAUUUCUAGUUUCUUCAAAAUAGUACUUAAAAUUUACAUAUAUUCAAUUAUUUCGAACAAGGAUUCUCAUUCUCAUCAGAGACACUAAUGUAACAGGCUUCAUCGAAAUGUAGUAUGUAGCGAUAUACGAUACUCCACUAACGAUUUUCCUUCGAGGAAGGGAAAACACCAAUUGAGUUGUCUAACAGUAAUUUUUCCAUUCAUAUUAUGGAGCUCACAAUUGAACAAUUCGUUGCUACAGAUGAGGAGAUUAAGAUAGACUUAACUAAGUUAGUGAAUUAAAAAUAAUAAUAUUCGAAUCAAAUAAGCUCAAAUAUUAUCCAAAUAUAAUGUUAGUUUCGAACUACUCCUUAUCACACAAUAUGGUGAACUUUUCGAAUUACUAGCUAUGUGGAAUUGCUAAUUAAUUUUUGUAGUUGUUUGUAGAACACUACUUUAUUUCAAGAAAAGAAGGAAGUUUUAUAUUACCUAUUACUUUAAAUGUUUGAUUUGUUUUGCCCGCUUGUGUGGAAUAUAGAGAUGGAGAGGAAAUUACUAUAAUGUUUCCCGUGAUUUUGUCAGGUAGUCACUCUAAAGAAUUUUGUUGGCUAUGAAUUUAGAGAUUAGACUUAGAAAAAUACGAUGUUGUGGUCUUUCUACAAUUUGGACUGACAGUAUUGCAGUCUUUAUUAGUAAAGUGCAAGAUGAAGAAGACUAGUUGAACGAGUGUGUGUGUGUGUGUGUGUGUGUUUUGUAGCUUGUAGAGGAUGGAUAUUCUUAUAGUUUGUAAAUUGAGUUUCUGAAAUAUAAAGACAACUUCUCAUAGAAGUUAAGUUAUCUAUUGGCCUUGAACUAUUUGCACAUGUUAUUACACCCAAACAAUAAAAUGGUAGUUUUAAUACAGCUUUAAGGUUUUGAUUCCACAAGUAGAUAGCUAAAAAUACUUAAGAUCCGAAAAGGUGAAUGUUCUUUCGAAUGUCUGAAAAGAAUUUAUUUGUUUGAUUGAAAAUAAAAUCAUGGUUUAAAAUAAUAAAGUGCUGAGUUCUCUCAAUUGGACUUGGCCAUUCCACAUCAAUGAUUCAUUCUUAUAACUCAAUUAGAGUUGUUCAACCUCGUUUCUCCCCUCAGAAGCGAAGUCAUUAAAAUCAAUUUAAUUCAAUUGUAAUUUUAAUGAUUAACUUUCCUACCACGCAUUCAUACUUCCGUUCCCUAGAAUAAGAUUAAAAAGCAACCAUAUACUUAAAGCAUAAAGUAGUAAUAAAUCAUACCAGUAAAAAUAGAUAAAUGAGAUUAAAACUUAAAUGAGUAUUUCAAUCAUUCAAUAGAGAAUGCGUAACUGAAUCUGUGGAGAAUUUAAUAAAAGUUUAGCCAAUCUCAAAGCACUUUUAUGAAAAGAAGUUCUAAACCAUAGAUGUGUUAAAAAUAAAAAUCUAAAUUUAUGAAUCAAAUAAUGUUGAAAUCACCAAAUCCAAUUGAGUUCCUCUCUAUCUUCACCAAGAUGUCUAGUUCUCCAUGUAAUUUUCGAUCAUUUUCUCUUGUUUUUCAUCCUUGAUUGUUGUUCAAAAAGUGUCAUUUAGGAACGUCUUCUUGUGCCUUUAAUAUUCCUAGAAGAUUUGAAUUCGAACGGGCCACAAAAAAGUCUAAAAAGUUGAAAAUUCUUCUCCUCCGCAACUAGCGCCACACUACAAACACUGCAUCGCUGACAUUCUGGUCGUUCUGUGCUUUUCUAACUCUACGGUGUAGGCUCUGGCCAAUUUUUUAUUAUUUUUAUUAUUUAUUUAUUUAUUAUUAUUUUUUUUUAAGAUCCAUCCUUCAUUUGGACGAAAACUUGAAAUUAAACACAUGAAUCGACUUAAAAAUUAUAUUAAAGUAAACUGAACAACACUUCAAGAACAUGAAUUAAUUCCUAUGGUUUCUAUUCAUUUUUUGGCAUUUUGGCUUAGUAAUUUGGUGUUUAAAGUACACUUUCGUGCAUUUAUCACCUCUCCAAACUUGCUUAUUGCUAGUAUCUAGCAAUCUAUGCAAAACAAGACAAUCAAUGAAUGGUCAACAAUACAAUUUAAAUAGUCAAGUUCCAAUUCAGCCACAAUUCAUACCUUUCGAACUCAACACUACAAGAAGUUAAUAGUGUCAUCAAUUUCAAAAUAUUAAAAGCACUUACAGAAAUUGUGAGUGUGGGUCAAGCCAUAGCCAUCUCACCACCAACCCUAACACAUAUAACGUCAAGUGUGUCUCAAGCUAAAGGUUCAACUCUAUAACUCACGGGAAUUAAAAUGUUCAGUGCAAUGAUUCUCUCUAUGGAGCUGAUAAAAGAUGUACACUCAAAAACUUGGAGGUUUAACCACUUAUCAACAAGCAACAAACAAACAUUAAUCUUAUGAUAGGAACACUUUCAAAUGAGAAUUCAUCUAUUAUUUCCACAAUUCUACUUGGGAUCAAAACAUUCAAUGCAAAAAGGUUGUAAUGAGGCCUAGGCCGGGCCAUACGAAGAGAAGGGUUAAGGAUUCAAAUAGUUCCAAGUACAUAGCUAGGGAUCUCAUCAAACAUUUCAGAUCAAUACCCAAAAUCAAUCCUCUUUCUUUUUUUUUUCUUUCUUUUAUUAUUAUUAAUUUUUUAUAUAUUUUCUCUGCUUUUAGGUCGCUUCUCUUGAACACUUACCAACUCUUCUCAUUUUCCUUAAUUCUAGUCUUGACAAAUAAACAUCCAAUACCUAAAACACACUUGGAAGUACGUAAAAGGGUAUGAAAAUACGUGUAUAGGUUAUACUCCAAUAUGGAAAGGUAUGGAUUACAUAGAUGCAUAAAGAAAAAGGAUAUAUAUGUGUGUUGGCUCAAAGUGACUACUAGGGAUUGUAAUCAUUUAAAGGGUUUAGCUUAAAAAGGCUCAAAUGUCAAUCAUAAAUUGACCUUCAUCAUUUUCCAAAUAUAAUCCACCAUCUUACCACAAACUGUAUAGUGUUAUUCUCAAAAGAAGUUUCAAAUUCAAGAAAUCAACGAACACUUAUUACCAUUUUUACUAUGUGAUAGCUCUCAAUUCUCACCAAUGCUCUCACAUGAAAACUUAAGCAGGAGACUCCUUUAGCUACAUGUGUCAAACUACCGUCUUACCACAAAGAUUGUGUGCAUGAAAUGAAUUUAGUAAGUGUCUUGACAUCUCGAUUCUAAAACAUAAACAUGCAACUAAUCAGAAAUAUUUUAGAACCAAUGAGCAAAAUCAAAGCCAAAAUUCCAUUAUGAAUAUACAAUUUACAACACAAUCCAAAUUAAUUCUUCCCCAACCAAAUCUGACAUUGUUCUCAAUGUCUAAACAUGUCUACCGAAGGAAAAAAGAAAGGUACCAUCUGAAUACUGAAGUGAAUCAACAUGGAAUUUGGAAGAUAGUUAACCUGAGAAGUGCUCAAUUGAAAAAUAAAACAGGAAAUGAAAAUAGACCUAAAAAGGCUAACAUACGAAAAAAGAAAAUUGAAAGACAUAUCUGAGUGAUGUCAAGGAUGGUAAAUAGAGUAUGCAAGAGAAGUUUCUUCCGUCGGAUGAACCUAUUUAAAUUAUCUUGAAAUGUUGCCCAUUUACUUUAAAUACUCUCCCAUCGCUAGGAUCCUCAAUUUCAAUUGCCCAUUUUCAAAAACUUGUUUGACCACAAAGGGCCAAUCCACCUAGAUUGAAGUUUACCUGGAUACUUGUGAGAUCUAGAUCCUAUAAUUACUCUUUCUUAUUUGUUCAAAUAUUUUCCUAAGAAUAUUUUUAUCAUGAAGUGCUUUCAUUUUUUACUUAGGGUUCGUUUGAUUUCAAGAAUAGAAUUUGGAUAGAAAGAAAACGAACUUCAAGAAAUUGAAUUGUCUAGAACUUGUUUUACUGGUAAUUAUAAAUUAAGGGGGUGUUUGGGAGCCAUUUUUAUGUAAGAAUACAUUUUUGAAUAGUAAAUUAAUGGGAAAUAUGUGGUUGAAAAAUAAAGAAAUGUUUUAAUAUUAUUUUAAUAAAGAAUGUAUGGUUGAAAAGAAGAGAGAGAAAUGCAUUUUGAAAAAAAUGGGUACCAAACGGCUCCUACUUGUGUUUGAUUUGUAUCAUUUUUCACCUAGAAAAUAUUAAAAUUUUGGAUCUUUUGGUGUUCGUUUGGCUUUGUUUUUCAUUAAAAUUAUCAAUUAAAGAGAUAAAAUUUGUUACAAUUUGGGAUAGAAUUUGUUUCAAUUGUCAAAAGAAAAAAAGCUAGAAAAUGUAAAACCACCAAACCCAUGGGAAAAUAUUUGCCUUAAAAAGGAGAAAAAUGGUACAUAAAUGGGUUGUACCAAUAAAACCAAUUCCAUGGAAAUUUUUUGCCAUCAAACAUGCAUUUGUAGAUGGAAAUGGAAAAUGUUUUCCAUUUUCAUGAAAAAUGGAAGUAUCAAACAGGCCCUUAUAGAUUUUAGAGUUCUCAUGUGCACCAUUUCUUAACUCCUUCAACUCAGCUAACUAAAAUUUCUUAAGCUUACAUCCCUCUCCUAGAUCAAAGUUAAAAUGUUUGAUGGCCUAAUAAGCCCGGUGUUCAAGCUCUACAGGUAAAUGGCAAGGAUUUUCAAAAAUAAUUCUAUAAGGUAACAUAUCUAAGGGGAUCUUAAAAGCUAUACGAUAAGCCCAAAGUGCAUCAUUUAGUCUUAAAGACCAAUCUUUAAGAUCUGGGUUCACUGUUUUCUCUAAAAUUUGUUUAAUUUCCCUAUUAGCCAAUUCUACCUGUACACUAUUUUGGGGUGACAAACAGUAAAAAUUUUAUGAAUAACCCCAUACUUUUUCAUUAGUGCUUCAAAUGAACAGUUGCAAAAGUGCGUGCCUUUGUCACUAAUAAUAGCUCAUGGUAUCCAAACUUAGACAAGACAUUUUCUUUAAGAAAUUUAACAACCAUUUUAUUAUCAGUAGCCCUAAAAGCUGCUACCUUUACUCAUUGAGAUGCAUAGUUUAUUGUCACAAUGAUAUAUAAGUAACCAAAAGAAGGUGGAAAGGGUCCCAACAUCUCAACAUGUCAUUGGGACAGUAUUUAAAUAGAUAUAGGUCAACCCAAUAAAAUUUUCGUACCUCAACCAUGAACUUUCUCUUAUCUUGUGCACUUCACUCUCCAGAAAUUUCACCAGCAGCCAAAUGACUUAUAAUGUGAGCAAACCAUGAUAGGGAGGAAACAAAAAAUAAAGGCUCGUCUUGAAAGUCAUCUUUAAUUGGCAAGGGGUUCAUGUUGUCCCCAAAACUUAGCCUUGACAAAUGAUUUGUUACCAUAAUCUCCACUCAUUUUUUUUAAUCUUUGAUGAUGAUGUCAAAUGCCUACAAAAGUAAAAUUCAUCGUAUUAAACAUACCUUAGCAUCCUUCUUUGUGAGAAGGUACUUAAGGGCUCAAUGAUCUGUGAAAAUGUAAUAGGAUAACCAAUCAAACAAGAGUGAAACUUAUUAGUAACUCUUUCUCAGUAAUGGAGUAAUUCAUUUAAACACUGUUUAUAUUCCUACUAGCACAGUAAAUGACGAAAGACUUACCUUUCCUUCAUUACCGAAGGAUAGCAACUACUGCAUAAUCAAUUGCAUCACACAUAUUCUCAAAUGGUAAUGUCCAAUCAAGUGGCUGCAUUAUGGGAGCUGAAGUUAGCUUUCCAAUCAGCGUUUCAAAUGCCUCUUGGCAAAAAAGGUUAUAGAUGAAAAAUUCUAUAUGAAUCUCCUGUAGAAGACCGCAUGGCCAAUAAAGGAUCUAAUAUCUUUUACUAUCUUAGUUGUUGGAAAUUUAGAGAUUAAUUCAAUCUUAGAUUUAUCAACCUCUAUCCCUUUAAAAGAUAUAUGUCGUAAGGUAAUGACAAAAGGUAGCAUGAAAUGGCACUUUUUCCAAUUUAAAACUAACCCAUUUUCCUCACAUCGGGUCAAAACUAUCUCUCAAUUCAACAAGCAUGCAUCAAAAGAAGUCCCAAAAACAAUCAGGUCAUCAAUGAAAACUUUCAUGCAAUUUUCUAUCAUGUCACUAAAUAUGCUGAUCAUGUAUCUUUGAAAUGUAGCGGGAGUGUUACAUAGUCCAAAUAGCAUCAUGCGAAAUGUACAAGUACCAAAAGGACAAGUAAAUAUGGUCUUUUUCUAGUCUUCUAAGACUAUUUCAAUUUGAUAAUAAUCAGAAUAGCCAUCCAAGAAACGAUAAAAGUGAUGGCCAGCUGUACGCUCUAAAAUUUGGUCCAAAAAGGAAAGAGGAAAAUGGUCCCUAUGAGUGUCAACAUUUUACUUCCUAUAAUCAAUGUACAUGAGCCAUCCAGUCAUAGUUUUUGUGGGAAUCAAUUUACCCACUUCAUUCUUUAGCACUAUGACACCUAACUUUUUAGGGACUACAUGUGUAGGACUAACCUAUUUACUAUCUACAAUUAGGUAAAUGAUAAACGCAUCUAACAAUUUUAAUACUUAAUUUUUCACUACUUCUUCUGUUGUGAAGUUUAUCCUACAUUGUGGGUCUCUUUUAGGGCUUGCUCUAUCCUCUAGGUGAAUCUUAUAUAAGCAAAUUACUAAUACACUUAAUGUCAACUAUAGUCCAACCUAAAGCAGAUUUAUGGUAAUUCCGAAUAUUUUAAAAAUGCUCAUAUUGUAAUGCAUUCAAUUCUAAAGAUUUAAUUACUUAGAAAAGUAUGACAUGGCUCAAGAACACACAUUUCAAUCCUGGGGACAGUGGUUUCAACUGUGGUUUGAGACUCUAAAUGUCUGACGGUUGAUAUCAUCACUCUUUUCUAGCAAUUUUUCAAACUUGGGCUACCAUGUUGAUAUCCCCUAGUCCUGAAAUUUCGCAAAAAAUGUUAGCUUAUCCUUCAUUAUUGCAACUUGCUAGAAUUUUAGAAUUUAAGAGAAAAGAGUUCAAGGGGUCAAAAUCAGCAGUUGCACGUGCUUUUCCCUAAAUGAGUACAUCAAUCAUGUAUGUUUGAUAACACUCAUCAUCCUCACAAAGCUACUAAGUAAUGUGAGAAAUUUUGAAUUCUAAAGUCAUGUUCUCAAAAGAUAACUUCAUUAGAUCAUUCAUGAAACUUAAAAAUCAUUAGCUGUAACAAGAAAUGGUCUACCAAAAUCGAUAGGAAUUUUUGAAUCAAUAUUCAAAUCAAGUAGUAUGAUGUAACAAGAAAGGGUCUCCUUGCGAUCCUCUUUUUGCCCUUGGAAGCAGAAGCGUCGUUGUGCUCGUCCCUUAGGUUAGGUAAUAUGAUGGAUUUUAUUUUCAUAAGAGUUUGUGUCAAAAAAGGAAUCUAUCCGAUUUUUUCCGAAAAAUGCCCUCGCGCGUGCGGUAUACUUCCUUGCGCGAGCGCCGCAUAUCACUUCUAUGUUCUGCAUAUGAAUUCAAGCCCGUGCACGCACGAAAGUACAGGCUUGCGCGCCACUAUGAGAUUUUUCCAUGUGUUGCACUUUGAUCCCUAUAGUUCAUUCUUCGUUCCUCUUGGUUCAUAUUGAUAUAUUCUUGAUCAUUCAUCCUCCAAUACUAUUUAAUUGCUUCUAGCACUUCUUAAAUCAUUAACAUUAGGUCUGAAUCAACUCUUAGUACUUUGCAAAUUAGUCCCCAAAAUUUUUAUUAAGUCCAAGUUAGUAAAUUUCUCGUUCUUCUGUCCAAUUUCAUUGUUUUGCCUCGAGUUACACCUAGCAAACGAAAUAUGUAUAAAGUUAAGCAUCAAUUCAUCCUAAAUAACAAAAAUAUCUCUAAUUUAAUCAAUGAGAUAAGUGUAUAAAAUACACUAAUAAGUUAACACGUACCAUUGAAACAAGAGAAAAGAAGCAAAAACAAUUUAGAUGUGAAAUGAGAAAUUGAGAAUGCCAUUUAGCAAUGGUGAAGAUCCUCCAUUUCAGGAUAAAAGGAUCUAAAGUUAGUGGAUCGGAUCUAUCCUAAUUGUUUCUCCCUAAAUUUGAUUCGAAGAAUACCCUUUGUGAAGGGGGAGAGUGAGGGGUAGGGGUGGGAUUGAGGGACUUGGUCACAAUCAUUGUCCAAAAUUCUUCAAUUGAAUGGAGGGCAAAUUUUUAUUACAGUUAGAAUGAGAACUAUACUCUAUGGAUACAUCUACGCUGGGAGAAAUAUUUAUUUUUAUAUAUGUAUUUACUAGUUAUACGCUGGGACAAACCCGUGAAUGCUGCAUAUGAUGAUGCUUUUUCUUUCCAGAUCGCAGUUUAUGGGAAAAACUUUAAUCGCACUGCAAAAGAUGCGUGGGAGUUAUUUCAGUCAACUGGUGUUGAAGCACUUAUUGCUUAUGAUUGUUCAGGUGCUGUACUAUUGAUGGCAACGCUCUUGGGUGGGCCUGUUGCUGGAACAUGUGCAGGAGUUUGGGCGUGGAUUAAACAUUCCGAUCGAGUGAUGAUGGUCGGAUCUACGGCCAUGUUCAUGGGAAUGAUCUUGGUACGCUUACAAUUGCUCGAUUAGUUUCUCUUAACAAAUUUAGCAUAUAUUCUAUUUUAAAACUUAUCAGUGCUAACCUGGGUUAUACAAGUGCAACAUCUGCAGUUAAAAACACUGUUGGUCAGACAAUUUGUAAGGAAGUUUCAUGUUAAUCACUGAACUUUAUUUUAAUCCAAAGUGAUCGGCCAAGUUUGCUUUGUUCUCAGUUUGGCCAUUCAGUUAAAAUCUGUUAUUUUCUCUCACAGAAUGUGUGGCAGGGAAGACGGCAAUCUAACAUGCUUCAAUCCCGAAGUCUUGCACGUCGGACAUUCUGCUAGAGAAAGUAACAAAUUUUGACUGAUUGAUCAAAUUGAAAUUCACUACUUUGAAACAAAGUAAAUUUCGGUCACUAACAUGUAACUUCACUAUAAACUGCGUAGCUAACCGUGUUUUUACCCUACAUCUGCAAUAGGUUUCGAGACAAAAAGUAUUGAUUUCCAGGUUUUUUAGUGCAUAACUACUAAAGAAGCAAUGGUCUAUUUUACAUUAGCUUGUUCCGUAGCUAAGAAGCAUGGACAGGUACAUCACAACACAAUUGAGUAACUAUUUGUUAUAUUAGAAUAACAUGUACUAUGUAUAUGUUACUAUUGACAAAGAAAGGAAGAUGCAUAUAGAAGAGUAUUGAGUCGUGGCGGUCUCUGAGAAAAUUCCCUAAUAGGAGUGUCCGUGCUUCAUAGUUGGGUACAUUUGUUCUCUCAUUCCAGAUGAACGGCUUAUUUCUUCUCUCUGCUAAGAUGUCGAGUUCUAUUCUCAGGUUGGCUAGGCAACUGUAGUUGUGGAAAGUGCAGUAACAUCCAUUUACAUAUGCUAUGCCGAAGACCUCUCUCUAAUAAACAGGUAGGAUUCAGCCUUUUUUACUCUGAUCUCAGAAAAACUACAUCAGCGAUUGCAACAUAGAAGUGCAAGGGCAAGGGAAGUAUUAAGUCAUAAUAUAGAUUAUCAAAUCCAAGAAGCAGGUACUAUUUGACUUCCUUUUGCACAAGCAAG
rnacentral:lncRNA from 1 species